GAUGAACGCUGGCGGCGUGCCUAAUACAUGCAAGUCGAGCGAACAGAUAAGGAGCUUGCUCCUUUGACGUUAGCGGCGGACGGGUGAGUAACACGUGGAUAACCUACCUAUAAGACUGGGAUAACUUCGGGAAACCGUAGCUAAUACCGGAUAACAUAUUGAACCGCAUGGUUCAAUAGUGAAAGACGGCCUUGCUGUCACUUAUAGAUGGAUCCGCGCUGCAUUAGCUAGUUGGUAAGGUAACGGCUUACCAAGGCAACGAUACGUAGCCGACCUGAGAGGGUGAUCGGCCACACUGGAACUGAGACACGGUCCAGACUCCUACGGGAGGCAGCAGUAGGGAAUCUUCCGCAAUGGGCGAAAGCCUGACGGAGCAACGCCGCGUGAGUGAUGAAGGUCUUCGGAUCGUAAAACUCUGUUAUCAGGGAAGAACAAAUGUGUAAGUAACUGUGCACAUCUUGACGGUACCUGAUCAGAAAGCCACGGCUAACUACGUG
rnacentral:rRNA from 1 species